rnacentral:rRNA from 1 species
AGCGGAGGAAAGAACCCCCAGGGGUUGCCCCAGUAACGGCGAGUGAAGCGGCAACAGCUCAAAUUUGAAAUCUGGCCCCCUUGGGGUCCGAGUUGUAAUUUGCAGAGGGAGCUUUUGGCGUCGGUCGUGGUCUAAGUUCCUUGGAACAGGACGUCACAGAGGGUGAGAAUCCCGUACGUGGCCGCCGGCCUUCGCCUUGUAAAGCCCCUUCGACGAGUCGAGUUGUUUGGGAAUGCAGCUCUAAAUGGGAGGUAAAUUUCUUCUAAAGCUAAAUACCCGCCAGAGACCGAUAGCGCACAAGUAGAGUGAUCGAAAGAUGAAAAGCACUUUGGAAAGAGAGUGAAAAAGCACGUGAAAUUGUUGAAAGGGAAGCGCUUGCGGCCAGACUUGCCCGCGGUUGAUCAUCCAGGCUCCAGCCUGGUGCACUCCUCCGCGGGCAGGCCAGCAUCAGUUCGGGCGGUCGGAUAAAGGCCUCUGUCACGUACCACCCCCCGGGGUGGCCUUAUAGGGGAGGCGCAACACGGCCAGUCCGGACUGAGGUUCCGCGCAUCUGCUAGGAUGCUGGCGUAAUGGCAGCAAGCGGCCCGUCUUGAAACACGGACCAAGGAGUCUAACAUCUAUGCGAGUGUUUGGGUGUCAAGCCCGAGCGCGCAAUGAAAGUGAACGGAGGUGGGAACCCCUCGGGGCGCACCAUCGACCGAUCCUGAUGUCUUCGGAUGGAUUUGAGUAAGAGCAUAGCUGUUGGGACCCGAAAGAUGGUGAACUAUGCCUGAAUAGGGUGAAGCCAGAGGAAACUCUGGUGGAGGCUCGCAGCGGUUCUGACGUGCAAAUCGAUCGUCAAAUUUGGGCAUAGGGGCGAAAGA